rnacentral:rRNA from 1 species
UACGAAGGGGGCUAGCGUUGUUCGGAAUUACUGGGCGUAAAGCGCACGUAGGCGGAUUGUUAAGUGAGGGGUGAAAUCCCAGGGCUCAACCCCUGGAACUGCCUCUCAUACUGGCAAUCUCGAGUUCGAGAGAGGUGAGUUGGAAUUGCGAGUGUAGAGGUGAAAUUCGUAGAUAUUCGCAGGAACACCAGUGGCGAAGGCGGCUCACUGGCUCGAUACUGACGCUGAGGUGCGGAAAGCGUGGGGAGCGAAACAGG